rnacentral:rRNA from 1 species
CAGCCGCCGCGGUAAAACGGAGGGGGCUAGCGUUGUUCGGAAUUACUGGGCGUAAAGCGCACGUAGGCGGCUUGGUAAGUUAGAGGUGAAAGCCUGGAGCUCAACUCCAGAAUUGCCUUUAAGACUGCCGAGCUAGCAGGUGAGAGAGGUAAGUGGAAUUCCGAGUGUAGAGGUGAAAUUCGUAGAUAUUCGGAAGAACACCAGUGGCGAAGGCGGCUUACUGGCUCAUACUGGACGCUGAGGUGCGAAAGCGUGGGGAGCAAACAGGAUUAGAUACCCGCGUAGUCCCUGUCUCUUAUAC